rnacentral:tRNA from 1 species
GCUAGGAUGGCAGAACAUGGACAUGCAAAAGACCUAAGCCCUUUCAACAGAGGUUCAAAUCCUCUUCCUAACU